rnacentral:rRNA from 1 species
CCUACGGGCGGCAGCAGUGGGGAAUAUUGGACAAUGGGGGGAACCCUGAUCCAGCGACGCCGCGUGAGUGAAGAAGUAUUUCGGUAUGUAAAUCUCUAUCAGCAGGGAAGAAAGAAAUGACGGUACCUGACUAAGAAGCCCCGGCUAACUACGUGCCAGCAGCCGCGGUAAUACGUAGGGGGCAAGCGUUAUCCGGAUUUACUGGGUGUAAAGGGAGCGUAGACGGCGAUGCAAGUCUGAAGUGAAAGGCGGGGGCCCAACCCCCGGACUGCUUUGGAAACUGUAUGGCUGGAGUGCAGGAGAGGUAAGUGGAAUUCCUAGUGUAGCGGUGAAAUGCUUAGAUAUCACGAAGAACCCCGAGUGCGAAGGCAGCCUGCCGCAGCGUUACUGACGCUGAAGCUCGAAAGCGCGGGUAUCGAACAGGAUUAGAUACCCUGGUAGUC